CGGGUGUAGUUAAGUGGUAUAACCUCAGCCUUCCAAGCUGAUGUUGUGGGUUCGAUUCCCAUCGCCC
rnacentral:tRNA from 1 species